GAUGAAGAACGCAGCGAAAUGCGAUAAGUAAUGUGAAUUGCAGAAUUCAGUGAAUCAUCGAAUCUUUGAACGCACAUUGCGCCCGCCAGUAUUCUGGCGGGCAUGCCUGUUCGAGCGUCAUUACAACCCUCAGGCCCCCGGGCCUGGCGUUGGGGAUCGGCGGAGCCCCCCGUGGGCACACGCCGUCCCCCAAAUGCAGUUGCGGUCCCGCCGCAGCUUCCAUCGCGUAGUAGCUAACACCUCGCGACUGGAGAGCGGCGCGGCCACGCCGUAAAACACCCAACUCUUCUGAAGUUGACCUCGAAUCAGGUAGGAAUACCCGCUGAACUUAAGCAUAUCAAUAAGCGGAGGA
rnacentral:misc_RNA from 1 species